UCCUUAGAUGUUCUGGGCCGCACGCGCGCUACACUGAUGCAUUCAACGAGUCUAAAACCUGCUCUGAUAGGGGUGGGUAAUCUUUUGAAUGUGCAUCGUGAUUGGGAUAGAUGAUUGCAAUUUUUCAUCUUCAACGAGGAAUGCCUAGUAAACGCAAGUCAUCAGCUUGCAUUGAUUACGUCCCUGCCCUUUGUACACACCGCCCGUCGCUCCUACCGAUUGAAUGAUCCGAUGAAUAUCAUGGAUUGAGGAUGCAAGUAGGUUCACCUAUCUUCAUCUUCGAGAAGUGAAGUAAAUCUUAUCAUUUAGAGGAAGGAGAAGUCGUAACA
rnacentral:rRNA from 1 species